rnacentral:rRNA from 1 species
ACGCUCGACACCUACGGGAGGCCGCAGUAGGGAAUCUUCCACAAUGGACGCAAGUCUGAUGGAGCAACGCCGCGUGAGUGAAGAAGGUUUUCGGAUCGUAAAGCUCUGUUGUUGGUGAAGAAGGAUAGAGGUAGUAACUGGCCUUUAUUUGACGGUAAUCAACCAGAAAGUCACGGCUAACUACGUGCUAGCAGCCGCGGUAAUCUGAGCGGGCUGGCAAGGC